rnacentral:rRNA from 1 species
UACGAAGGGGGGCUAGCGUUGCUCGGAAUCACUGGGCGUAAAGGGUGCGUAGGCGGGUUCUUAAGUUAGAGGUGAAAGCCUGGAGCUCAACUCCAGAACUGCCUUUAAUACUGGGAAUCUUGAGUUCGGAAGAGGUGAGUGGAACUGCGAGUGUAGAGGUGAAAAUUCGUAGAUAUUCGCAAGAACACCAGUGGCGAAGGCGGCUCACUGGUCCGAUACUGACGCUGAGGGCACGAAAGCGUGGGGAGCAAACAGGG